GCCUGGGUGGCUCAGUUGGUUGAGUGUCUGACUUCGGCUCAGGUCAUGAUCUCACGGUUCAUGAGUUUGAGCCCCACCUCGGGCU
rnacentral:tRNA from 1 species